UUGGCUGAUUUGGAGGCCUGCGGCAGUCUUUGCUGUCUAGACUGUCCCCGUGCGGCUCUCUAUGGUUCGCCGGAAGUGGGAUGCUCCCCCUUCUCGUGCCUGUGUCGCCGGGGUUGGUAACGGUUGUGGCUCGGGCCGCUACGGCCAUGGCCUGCAGACGCGGGGCGCUGGUGGUGCUGGAGGGGGUGGACCGGACCGGGAAGACCACGCAGAGCCGGAGGCUGGUGGAAGCGUUGCGGGAAUCUGGGCACCUCGCCGAGCUCCUGCGAUUCCCGGACAGAACAACAGAAAUUGGGCAGCUAAUUAGCUCCUACUUGGAGAACAAGAGCAAUUUGGAGGACCACACAGUGCAUCUGCUUUUCUCUGCUAACCGCUGGGAACAAGUGCCGUUGAUUAAAGAGAAAUUAAAUCAAGGCAUCACUCUAGUGGUGGACAGGUACGCCUUUUCCGGGGUGGCCUUCACAAGUGCCAAAGAGAAUUUCUCCUUGGAUUGGUGCAAACAGCCUGAUGUAGGGCUCCCAAAGCCAGAUUUGAUCCUAUUUCUUCAGUUGAGCACAUUGGAGGCAGCAAAACGAGGGGACUUCGGAAACGAACGCUAUGAGAACAGCUCCUUCCAGGAGAAAGUUUUAAAGAACUAUUACCAUCUGAUAAAGGACAAGACUUUAAACUGGAAGGCAUGUGUGCAAAAUGCAACAAAGAAAUGCAAGACCUGGUUGCCCGAAUGAAACAACUUCAUGAGAAGUGUUCCUUCCCAGGAGGAAGCUGCAUUGAAGAUGAUGAAAGCAACAUGUCUGAACAUGCAGGAUCUUCAGGAGAAUCCAUCCUCAACAUACAGGAUUCUGAAGACUAUCCACCUUCAAAAUCACCAUCAUUUUCUAAAGUUUCAGGAUAGCCAAUGAUAGCGUUUCAGUCACAUCAUGUAUGUCACAUAGCCACAGUAUAUCACCUGUAGCAAAAAGAAAAAGAUCUCCAUCAUCCAGAAACAACCACAGAUAAAUUUGUGAUAAGAACCAACAGAUUACAAAGAGAGGUAAUUGAUGAAAAAAUUGCCCAGUUUGUUUAUGCAACAAACUCUCCUUUCCGUAUGAUUGAGAAACCACACUUCAUUAACAUGGUUCAGCCAUUAAAACCCAAUACAGUCCACCCAACAGAAUAGAUGUCGCAGGCAAAUUGCUGGAUAAAGUGUACGAAAGAGAAAUUGAGCAGUGUGCAAAAGGUCUAGAGGGUAAAAUUGUUAACCUGAGUCUUGAUGGGUGGAGCAAUGUCCACAAUGAUCCUAUUGUAUGUGCUUGUGUGACAAAAGAAGAAGGGAAUGUCUUCCCUACGGAAACAAUUGAUACAUCCGGAAAUGCACACACAGCAGAAUACUUACAGGAAGUAGCAGUAAAAGCUAUAACAAACUGAAAAACAAUUCAAAUGUCUAGUAUGUAGCUUGGUCACAGACAAUGUUGCAAAUGUAUACAAGAGAGUGAAGAGAGUCCCAAGCUAACAACAUACGGUUGCAGUGCUCAUUUGAUGCAUCUCCUAGCCAAAGACUUCAGUGUUCCAGAAAUAAAGGCUAAUGUUGUUGAAAUUGCAAAAUACUUCCGAAACAACCACUUUGCAGCAGCUGCUCUGAAAAAAGUGGGAGGAACCAAGCUAACUCUCCCACAAGAUGUGUGAUGGAACUCAGUAGUGGACUGUUUUGAGCAUUAUAUCAAGAACUGGCCUAAUCUGAUGACCAUUUGUGGAAAAAAUAGAUGGCACUGUCACAGCCAAAGUUCUCAAUGUUGGGCUUAACAGAAAUGUUGAACACAUGCCGAGUACCCUGAAGCCUAUUUCUGUAGCCUUGAACAAAAUGCAGGGAAAUAGCUGUUUUAUUGCUGACGCUGUUGAAAUUUGGAAGGAACUGAGUGAGAUCUUAAAGAGACAUAUGCAAUGACAGAAUUAAAUUACAAGCAUUAAAAAAUGAAUGGGACAAGCACCAUCUCCAGCUCGUUUUCUUGAAAGUAUUCUCAAUAUUCGGUACCAGGGUCAAACCUUAACUGCUGAUGAAGGGGAGACGGCUAUGACAUGGACAUCUAGCAAUCAUCCCUCCAUAAUGCCAAUUAUAAUAAACUUCAGAGCUAAGGAUGAACUAUUCAAGAAAUAUGUUUGUUGAUGUUUUAAAGAAAGUCACACCAGUGAACUGAUGGAAGUCACUUAAGCACUUGGAUUCAGAGACUGCUGAAGUGAUAAUCUCACUUUUAACAGCACUAGCUUCUUCUGUUGGUGUAGAAAGAAUAUUUUCUUCCCUUGGAUUAAUUCAUUCCAAAUUGAGAAAUCGUUUCGGACCUGAAAAAGCAGGAAAGCUUGAUUUUCUUUUCCAGAUUAUGAACAAACAGGAAAAUGAAAGUGAAGACAACUGAGUUAGCUGCAGAAGCCAAUAUUUUAAAUUUCUCAUGUUGACCUUGCUGACAGUCGAUUUAACUAUUUUAGUUAAAAACAAUUUUAACAAAAAACAAACCUAAUUUUAAAAAACUUGAAUGUUUAACUAAAUUCAAAAAUUCAUAGGCUUGUUUUGUUAAAAUAUUAUGUUUGCUGUUGAAGAAAAAAAUCCAGAAUACAUAAUGUUGUUGUUUUAGUUAAAUAAAACAAUUUAAAUGUC